UUAGUUGAAGCCAAACAGAGGCAAAUUAUUGUUAAUAAUUGUAUUGAAAUUUAUAUCCAACUAAU
rnacentral:tRNA from 1 species